UGCCUUUCCAAACGGAAGAUGAACUUAGCAAUUCUAGGCGCUGCCUGUGUACUAGACAAGUCUUGCUGUGUUGCCCAGGCCGGAGUGCAGUGGUGCAAUCUCUGCUCAGUGCAACCUCUGCCUCCUGGGUUCAAGUGAUCAUUCUGCCUCAGGCUCCUGACUAAUUGGGAUUACAGGCAUGCACCACCACACCAGCUAAUGUUUGUAUUUUCAGUGGAGACGGGGUUUUACCAUGUUGGCCAGGCUGGUCUCAAACUCCUGACCUCAGGUGAUUCGCCUGCCUCGGCCUCCCAAAGUGCUGGGUUUACAGGCGUGAGCCACCGCCCGGCCUCAUGUCAUCAAAAGAAGAGAAAACAGAGGCACAAGAGAAGAUGACCACAGAAGACAGAGGCAGAGGCUGGGGUUAUGCUACCACAAACCGGAGAAUGCCAAGGAUUGCUGGCAACCACCAGGAGCCUGGGGAGAGGCGUGGAACCCCUCCUCCCUCAGAGGCCCCAGAAGGAUCCAACCCUGCUAAUACCUUGAUUUUAGACUUCCCACCCCCAGAACUGUGAGAAAAUAAAUUUCUAGCUGCUUUAAGC
rnacentral:lncRNA from 10 species